GGGGGAGGCCGGAUCCUGGGCUGUGUCCGGGCGCCCUGUGCUCCGGGGCCUGCGCUGUUGGAUUCGCGCUCCCGGGCCGCACAAUCCCCU
rfam:Canis lupus familiaris chromosome 23, whole genome shotgun sequence.